GUCCUAGCCCUAAACGAUCAGGACUUGGGGUGCCGCCCGUUCGGGCGUCGUCCCGGAGCUAACGCGUUAAGUCCUGCACCUGGGGAGUACGGUCGCAAGACUGAAACUCAAAGGAAUUGACGGGGCCCGCACAAGCGGUGGAACAUGUGGUUCAAUUCGACGCUACGCGAGGAACCUUACCUGGGCUCGAAAUGCUUAGGACCAGCUGUAGAAAUACGGCCUUCCCGCAAGGGACCUGAGUAUAGGCGCUGCAUGGCUGUCGU
rnacentral:rRNA from 1 species